rnacentral:rRNA from 1 species
CAUGUGUAAGUACUAGCCAAAACUAAAAUGGUGAAACCGCGAAAAGCUCAUUAAAUCGGCUUUGGUUCCUUAGAUAGUAAGCAGAAAUGAUUUUUCAAAAAAUAAAUAUUUAUAUUUAAUUUUGAAAAAAAAAUUCUGAUAUUGGAUAACUGUGGUAAUUCUAGAGCUAAUACAUGAAAAUUAAAAUCAGUGUGAAAUUUUUUUGAAAGAAAGAAUUUUGCACGCUUUUAUUAGAGGAAAAAGCCAAUUUAAAAAUAAUUUUUUUUUAAUUAAAAAAAUUAUUUAAUAUUAAUUAAAUAAAUUUAAAAUUUUAAACAUUUUAAAUUUUUUAAGUGUUGAAUCUGAAUAACUAAAACAAAUUUCUAUAAAAAAAAGUAUGCAAAUUUUUAAAUUUUUUAUUGUUUAGAAAUUGGCGUUAAAAACUAAUUUUUAAAUUAUUAAAAUAAUUUUUAAAUUUACAUGCUUUUUUUAUUAUUAUAGAAAUUUAAAGCUGACCGCAACAAUAUGCUUUUUAAAGAAAUUUUUGUAAAAAAAAAUUUUUUUCAAUUAGUAUUGCGGCGUAUCUUUCAAUUGUCUGCCUUAUCAACUUUCGAUGGUAGAUUACAUGCCUACCAUGGUUAUAACGGGUAACGGAGAAUCAGGGUUCGAUUCCGGAGAGGGAGCCUGAGAAACGGCUACCACAUCUAAGGAAGGCAGCAGGCACGCAAAUUACCCACUCCCGGCUCGGGGAGGUAGUGACGAUAAAUAACGAUACGGAACUCUAUUGAGUUUCCGUGAUCGGAAUGAGUGUAAUUUAAAUCCUUAUACGAGGAGCAAAUGGAGGGCAAGUCUGGUGCCAGCAGCCGCGGUAAUUCCAGCUCCAUUAGCAUAUAUUAAAGUUGUUGCGUUUAAAAAGCUCGUAGUCGAAUCUGUAUCUCGGCGUGUCAGUCGUUUAGUAAUUUAAAUAUUACUAAAUUUGAUGUGACAAUUUUCGCAUGAGAUAUAAAUAUUGGUGGAUUUUAAGUAAUUAAUAAUUAUUUAUAAUUAUUAAUUAUAAAAUUCGAUACAAAAUAGUUUUUUUUUAUUAAUAUAAAUUAUUUAUAAAAAAAAUGAAUUUUUUUUAAUCGAAAAAUUAAUAAUUUUAAUUUAUUAAAAUUUUAUUUUUUCGUCUAAAUUUUUGUUUAAAUUUUUAUGUUUAAACAUAUUUAGAUAUUUAAUAAGAAAUAUUAUUCAUAAUUCAUAUUAUUGAAAAAUUUUCUAUUAAAUAAUUAAAAAAAAGUUAAUUAAUUAUUUAUUUAAUUAAUUAAUAAUUUAGUAUGUUUAAAUAAUUUAUUUAAUUAUCGUAAAAAUAUUUUGUAUUCUAAUUAAAAUUAUUACAUUUUUUAAAAUGUACAUAAUUUUUUUAUUUUAGACCAAUAAAAUUACUUUGAACAAAUUAGAGUGCUUAAAGCAGGCAAAAUUAAAUGCCUUGAAUAUAAACAGCAUGGAAUAAUAGAAUAUGAUCUCGAUACUGUUUUUAAAAAAAAUAUUUAAAAAUAUUUAAUGUUACAAAAUUUUUUUAUUUUAAUUUUUUUAAAGUAGAAAAUUUGUACAUUUUAAAUUGGCUUAAAGAAUAAAUUAUUUUUAUAAAAAUUUUAUUUAAAAAAUGAAUAAUUUUUUUAAUUAGAAAUUAUUUAUUUUUAUUAUAUAAAUAAAAUUAAAAAUAUUUAUUUCGACAGUGUAUUGAGAUAAUGAUCAAUAGAAACAGAUGGGGGCAUUCGUAUUACGACGUAAGAGGUGAAAUUCUUAGAUCGUCGUAAGACGAACUGAAGCGAAAGCGUUUGUCAAAAAUGUUUUCAUUGAUCAAGAACGAAAGUUAGAGGCUCGAAGACGAUUAGAUACCGUCCUAGUUCUAACCAUAAACUAUGCCGACUAGUGAUCCGUCGAUGUUCAUUUAAAUUGACUCGACGGGCAACUUCCGGGAAACCAAAGUUUUUAGGUUCCGGGGGAAGUAUGGUUGCAAAGCUGAAACUUAAAGGAAUUGACGGAAGGGCACCACCAGGAGUGGAGCUUGCGGCUUAAUUUGACUCAACACGGGAAAUCUCACCAGGCCCAGACACCGAAAGGAUUAACAGAUUAAUAGCUCUUUUUUAAUUCGGUGGGUGGUGGUGCAUGGCCGUUCUUAGUUGGUGGAGCGAUCUGUCUGGUUAAUUCCGAUAACGAACGAGAUUCUAACCUACUAACUAGACGUUAAAUGUUUUUUUAUUAAACUUAAAUAAAUUUUUAAAGAAAAUAUUUGGAAAAUUUUUUUUUUUUUUAAAUUUUAUAGAUUGUUUUUUCAAAUUAAUAUAUAUUUGUUAUUUAUUUAAUGAGUAUAUAUUGUUUGUGAAUAAUAAUUUAUAAAAUUAAAAAGAAAAAUUUUUUUUAAAUAAUUUUUUUUAUUAAUUUUGUUUAAUAAGCAUUUUAUCCGAUAUUUUUGAAGUUGUUUAAUAAAAUAUUUAUUUUUUUAUAAUUUAUUAUAAAAAAUUAAUAUUUUAUUGACUUUCGCUAUCGGCGUAUUUUAUAAACUCUUCUUAGAGGGACAGGUGGAUUUUAUAAGCCACACGAGAAGGAGCAAUAACAGGUCUGUGAUGCCCUUAGAUGUUCUGGGCUGCACGCGUGCUACAAUGAAAAAAUCAACGUGUUAAUGAAAAAUUUUCUUUUCCGAUAGGAAUGGAUAAACCGUUGAAAAUUUUUCUUGUUUUGGAAUCGGGGAUUGAAAUUAUUCUCCGUGAACGAGGAAUUCCCAGUAAGCGUGAGUCAUAAGCUUGCGUUGAUUACGUCCCUGCCCUUUGUACACACCGCCCGUCGCUACUACCGAUUGAAUGAUUUAGUGAGGUCUUCGGACUGUCACACGAUUUAAACAUUUCGAUGUUAUCGUUGUUUUGAUAGAAAGAUGCCCAAACUUGAUUAUUUAGAGGAAGUAAAAGUCGUAACAAGGUUUCCGUAGGUGAACCUGCGGAAGGAUCAUUA